rnacentral:tRNA from 1 species
ACCUGGGUGGCUCAGUCGGUUAAGUAACUGACUCUUGGUUUCAGUUCAAGUCAUGAUCUCACGGUUCGUGGGUUCAAGCCCCACAUCAGGUU